UAUACCGUAGUCUGUAGCCUACUGUGUUUGCAAUGCGCGCCGAACGUCGGAUCACUUCCGAAGCAUAUAUCAGCUUCAGCCGGCCGGCGAGGCUUCUCACGUCAUCAUUUCCGGGUUCUGCCGAAAUGACGCGCGCCUCGCUACAAGCCUCGUGGAAACACCCCUCCCAUUACUCGACACAAGCUUCGGAACCUCGGCCCAUUUCGUCCCAUCACUACUUUCUGAUGCCGUAAACUCACUGGAUGUGUUGCAUAAAAGGCGUUAUGUGGAAAAGCUUCGUUCUAUACAGUCGCCAGAUCCAUAUUUGAUGCCCAAAUCGAUGUUUUUCGACCCACUGUCUUCGCCCUGUCUGCCUGACAUCUGCUACGCUGAUAUUUACAAUUAUCUUGUCCACACAAAAUCAGCCUAUUCUCACGAAAAUUUGAAAAACUUCAAGAGCUUGGAGGCUUAUAAAUACUUCGUUGCUGGUUGGGUGAAACAGGUCCUCGUCCACGAAAAUUCGGCAGGAAUCUAUCUUGUGCUUGGAAAGGUGGAGGGUUUUUUGGGACGGUGCCACGAUUGAAGAUUUACGAGCACCGGCGGGAAAAUACUCCAACGCGACGAACGUUUCCAGCUGAAUCCAUUCAUCAAAGAGACCCGAAGGCAUCGUGUGGUGAAACCGGACUUAUUUGCAGCUGAACUUGACCGAGGAAGCGACGGCUUCAAAAUCCAACAUUUCUGUGGAAAUCAUCACACGCCAACAUUGUCAUGGAAUUACAACUGCAAAUAAUUUUUUUGAUGAUGGACUAUUUUUGCGAUGAGUCGACCUAAAAACUUUCCGCUGAGGACAGUUGAUUAUUUAACUAUGUGACUGUAUUGUUUUCUAAUGCAAAAGCAGAUGCUUGCAAAGACCUUAUUGUUGUAAUUUACAAACUAUACUACUAUUUAGUACGAUACAAAUGUUCCACCCCUCUUUUUUUUUUUUUUUUAAAUAAUAAAAAUAAAAACCAUUCACCCUUUACUUAGUUUUUUCAUAAUAUGGUCUAAAACAAAUGCAA